AAAAGUCCAUUUCAAAACUAUGCAUUUGCCACACUUCUCACCACUUGUAAUAAGUCUUAAAUCACAUUUGGGAGGUGUUUGGCUAAUUUUCCAUGCACUGUAGCAGCAUCUCAUGCGCAUGAAGGUUAUUUUGGCCAAUUGCACAUAAACACUCAUUUCACUAAUCACUUUGGUUUUGGCUAAGCUUGAUUAACAAAAAGGAUUAACAGCACCUAUAUAUUCCUAAUCCUAACUGAAUUUCUG
rnacentral:lncRNA from 1 species